rnacentral:lncRNA from 1 species
ACGAGUGGUGGAUACAGAGUUACCAUCAAGCAGAGUGAGCAUCCUUCCAGAGCAGCUGGUGGGAGGCCUUAGAAUUCUAUGCUCCAGGUUCUCCUUUUCAAUUCCUCCACUUCCCAAAUUUCACAACUGUCUUUUCCCUCCUUGCUUUCCUUAACAUCCACUCAAGCGGUCGUUUUUACAAAGCUUUUAAAAAUGUGUUUUGCAUUUUCCAAAUACAUUUAUAUUGUGCAUGAUAAAUUCUUCAGGAACAUUAACUGAUGAAUGACUAAGACUGUGUGCCUUCCCCACACCUGUAUCAAUACCACGAUGCAGGAUGACAUGGUGUGGUCUCUUUGCUCCCUUCCCAAUGGCCUCCACACCACACGGCUUUUGCCAAGACUGCUUCCUACUCAGCUGUAGUGAUCAAGUGAUGCUGCAUUUAAAAGCUGGGCAAUUUUGUGGUCAAUGAAAAGUGAGUCGGGCAACUCUAAAGGAGAGGCAGCAACCUCCGCAACUGGCCCCUUCAUCAAUAUCACGCUGCCCUCUUGAGAGCGUGGGCCCCCAACUCUUCUAAGCCACCUACUGACUGCCUGGCUGACCUCAGUCCCACCCCGUUUUUAUCUGAACCACAGUUCUUCCCCUGUGGAAACAGUUAGCACUCUCUAAAAGCUCCUGAGCAGACUGGAAGGAAGAGCUAUGGGAACUAAGAGUGUGGGGAGCAGCAAGGGCGAGGGGCUCCCGCCCCGGCCCUGCACUGUGGUCGGGCACAGACAGACAGAGCCCCCUGCCCUGUGGUCGGGCACAGCCAGCCAGGCUGGCUGGCCCAUGAGGCCCCAGUGAGCAUCCUGGGUGAGAGAGACAUAAGCCAGCAUCCUUAGAGCAUGGAUGUGACUCCAGAGAAGGUGUCCUGGGACCACCCCUGACCUUCUGUUUCUCCUGGGUGGCCUGGAAAAAGGGCCAUGCCCCAGAGCUCCUGGGUGUCCCNUGUGGCCCCAGCAUCUCGCCCACAGCACAUCCCCGCAGGCCACAGCCCCAGCUAAGAGGCGGGCAUGUUCCAGCCAAAGACUUCCCUGACCUGGCGCUCCUGAGGCAGAAGGGCCCCUGUUCAGCAGACCAGACGCUCCGCCUGUCCGCCCUCCUCUCCUCACACGUGGGGAUGAGGACGGCCGCUCCAUCCUCUUCUUUCCGACAGGCAGCACUGAGUCUUUUCAGAGACGGACACUCACUCUGUCUUUGGGGUUCCACCUCCACUGCCUGCUCUGGUGAAUCUUAA